AGAACGCCAAGCCAAGAAUCAACUUCAUUUUCCUAUCCUCAAAAAUGUCCAUCAGCAGUCAUUUCUUUCCUUAAUAGCCCCUGCUCCCCAAGUAGGCCAAACUCCAUCUAGAGUGGGUGGGAACAGUGUAAAGGAAAAAGAUGGGAGAUGGUGAGGAGAAAGUAGACAGGCCCAGGAUGAAAGCCAAAAUGGGGGGGGGAGGGAGAACUUUAUGACAGGCUAGAGAUGAGAGAAUGGUUCUGUAGUACUGGAGGAAGCCAAUCUGCGAAAAUCAAUAUAAGAAGAAAAAAAUGUAAAGAGAUCAGACUAAAACUAAUAAAAACAUUAACACAAACACAGGUGGGAAAUAAUAUAUGGAAGUAAUGGCAGAGAAAGGAUGCGGAGGAGAAAGUAAUGGUAUAGUGUCUAGCGACUCAAAAAGAAACACGGUGUUGGGGAGAAAGAAGGGGACAGGUCUACUACGAAAAAUGAAAAAGCAGAGAAGAAACUGAGGAAUGUAGAAGGCAGAUGCUGGAUAAAAGCAAGGUUCUAGAGGGGGGAGUGACUCGACGCAAAGGGGCCAAUUAAGGGGGACCAGAGCACUGGGUAAUGGGAGGGGGAGGUCCCAUAAUAUGGAAAAGAGACCCUCCAAGAGGAGGUCUGUCGGGCGCGGCUCAACCUAGGGCGGCGGUGGCGGGGAGGGGGCUAACAGAUGCGGGUGAAGAGGGAGAAGAGCAGUAGAGGGUACAGUGUUUCGGGCUCAAGAGCUGGGGUCGGUCUCUGAAGCCAGUGCGGGCCAGUAGAGUGCAGUGCUGCUUGUUUCACUCCAACCCAGGCGCCCUAUUCUGGGACAAGCUCACUUUCUGUGGCCACCAACCACCUCUUUCGCUCAGAGGACAAAGGGAGGUAAGUGAGGCAGCCUCCCUUCCUGUGAACCUACUUUUUCCUAGGGUAGGAGAAAUGGGUCGGCAGGCCUUACAUCUUUAUUUGGUGGUGCUAGAAAGCACUGCUUCCCUGGCAGAAGG
rnacentral:lncRNA from 1 species